rnacentral:rRNA from 1 species
CCUACGGUGGGCAGCAGUGGGGGAUAUUGCACAAUGGGGGGAACCCUGAUGCAGCGACGCCGCGUGGGUGAAGAAGCAUCUCGGUGCGUAAAGCCCUGUCAGCAGGGAAGAAAAUGACGGUACCUGACUAAGAAGCCCCGGCUAACUACGUGCCAGCAGCCGCGGUAAUACGUAGGGGGCAAGCGUUAUCCGGAUUUACUGGGUGUAAAGGGUGCGCAGACGGCGGUGCAAGCCAGGAGUGAAAGCCCGGGGCUUAACCCCGGAACUGCUUUGGAAACUGUGUGGCUGGAGUGCAGGAGGGGUAGGCGGAAUUCCUGGUGUAGCGGUGAAAUGCGUAGAGAUCAGGAGGAACACCGGUGGCGAAGGCGGCCUGCUGGACUGUAACUGACGUUGAGGCCCGAAAGCGUGGGGAGCAAACAGGAUUAGAUACCCUUGUAGUC